ensembl:snRNA Gm22945 predicted gene, 22945
AUACUUAGGAGAGGAGAUACCAUGGUCAGGAAGGAAGUUUUUCCAGAGAGCAUUUUAUCCACUGGACUACAAAUUUCUUUCUCCUGCAUUUAUCUUAAGUGUAGGAAAUUUGACCUAGUAAUUUGUGGUCGUGGAGAAUUGUGUUCAUAUUCUCCUU